rnacentral:snoRNA from 2 species
CCCCUCUCGGGGUCGUACCUGGUGAGUUUCCAGUACUCUACCAAUCUCGACUACAGGAGGGAGAGUCAAGCAGAGGUCUACCCAUUCCAUUCCUAGUUUGGGCAGUGGUAGCGAGUGGAAGGAAAUCUGCUACAAAU